rnacentral:rRNA from 1 species
UCGAGCGGAAACGAUCCUAGCUUGCUAGGAGGCGUCGAGCGGCGGACGGGUGAGUAAUGCAUAGGAAUCUGCCCGGUAGUGGGGGAUAACCUGGGGAAACCCAGGCUAAUACCGCAUACGCCCUACGGGGGAAAGCAGGGGAUCUUCGGACCUUGCGCUAUCGGAUGAGCCUAUGUCGGAUUAGCUAGUUGGUGAGGUAACGGCUCACCAAGGCUGCGAUCCGUAGCUGGUCUGAGAGGAUGAUCAGCCACAUCGGGACUGAGACACGGCCCGAACUCCUACGGGAGGCAGCAGUGGGGAAUAUUGGACAAUGGGCGAAAGCCUGAUCCAGCCAUGCCGCGUGUGUGAAGAAGGCCUUCGGGUUGUAAAGCACUUUCAGUGAGGAAGAAAGCCUUGAGGUUAAUACCCUCGAGGGAGGACAUCACUCACAGAAGAAGCACCGGCUAACUCCGUGCCAGCAGCCGCGGUAAUACGGAGGGUGCGAGCGUUAAUCGGAAUUACUGGGCGUAAAGCGCGCGUAGGCGGCUUGAUAAGCCGGUUGUGAAAGCCCCGGGCUCAACCUGGGAACGGCAUCCGGAACUGUCAGGCUAGAGUGCAGGAGAGGAAGGUAGAAUUCCCGGUGUAGCGGUGAAAUGCGUACAGAUCGGGAGGAAUACCAGUGGCGAAGGCGGCCUUCUGGACUGACACUGACGCUGAGGUGCGAAAGCGUGGGUAGCAAACAGGAUUAGAUACCCUGGUAGUCCACGCCGUAUACGAUGUCGACUAGCCGUUGGGCUCCUUGAGAGCUUUGUGGCGCAGUAACGCGAUAAGUCGACCGCCUGGGGGAGUACGGCCGCAAGGUUAAAACUCAUAUGAAUUGACGGGGGCCCGCACAAGCGGUGGAGCAUGUGGUUUAAUU